UGGGGAAUAUUGCACAAUGGGCGCAAGCCUGAUGCAGCCAUGCCGCGUGUGUGAAGAAGGCCUUCGGGUUGUAAAGCACUUUCAGCGGGGAGGAAGGCGUUAAGGUUAAUAACCUUGGCGAUUGACGUUACCCGCAGAAGAAGCACCGGCUAACUCCGUGCCAGCAGCCGCGGUAAUACGGAGGGUGCAAGCGUUAAUCGGAAUUACUGGGCGUAAAGCGCACGCAGGCGGUCUGUCAAGUCGGAUGUGAAAUCCCCGGGCUCAACCUGGGAACUGCAUUCGAAACUGGCAGGCUAGAGUCUUGUAGAGGGGGGUAGAAUUCCAGGUGUAGCGGUGAAAUGCGUAGAGAUGUGGAGGAAUACCGGUGGCGAAGGCGGCCCCCUGGACAAAGACUGACGCUCAGGUGCGAAAGAGUGGGGAGCAAACAGG
rnacentral:rRNA from 1 species